AAAAGAAGUGUUGGGUCAUAUGGUAACUGAAUGUUCAGCUUUUUGAGAAACUGCCAAAAUGUUUUCGACAGCAGCUGUAACAUUUUACAUUUCCACAGCAAU
rnacentral:pre_miRNA from 1 species